GUGAAUCAUCGAAUUUUUGAACGCAAAUUGCACUCUCCUCGGAGAGUAUGCCUGUUUGAGGGUCAGCAUAUAAAAAUCGACGUCGUUGCUGUUUCUCGGAGGCGUUCGUCGGAAAUUGGGUCAUAUUAAAGCCUUUUGAUUUAAGCGACUUAAAAUGUACUUUUGGUUGCAUGAACGUUGCUAUGUGCUUUUUUUUUACCCGGUUAAGGUAUCGAUUUUUAAUUGACGUGACCAUCAUAUGGGAUAGCGUCCAUAAUCGUUUAUUAACUGACCUUAU
rnacentral:misc_RNA from 1 species